AGCGAACGCUGGCGGCAGGCCUAACACAUGCAAGUCGAACGAAGUCUUCGGACUUAGUGGCGGACGGGUGAGUAACACGUGGGAACGUGCCUUUAGGUUCGGAAUAACUCAGGGAAACUUGUGCUAAUACCGAAUGUGCCCUUCGGGGGAAAGAUUUAUCGCCUUUAGAGCGGCCCGCGUCUGAUUAGCUAGUUGGUGAGGUAAAGGCUCACCAAGGCUACGAUCAGUAGCUGGUCUGAGAGGAUGACCAGCCACAUUGGGACUGAGACACGGCCCAAACUCCUACGGGAGGCAGCAGUGGGGAAUCUUGCGCAAUGGGCGAAAGCCUGACGUAGCCAUGCCGCGUGGAUGAUGAGGGUCUUAGGAUUGUAAAAUCCUUUCACCGGUGAAGAUAAUGACUGUAGCCGGAGAAGAAGCCCCGGCUAACUUCGUGCCAGCCGCCGCGGUAAUAC
rnacentral:rRNA from 1 species